rnacentral:tRNA from 1 species
AGAUAAUGAGCUUGAAAUAAGUAUAUAUUUUGAAAAUAUAAGAUAGAAUAUUAAAAUAUUUUAUUAUCUU